GGGUUGUGAGGUUAAGCGACCAAGCGUACACGGUGGAUGCCCUGGCAGUCAGAGGCGAUGAAGGACGUGCUAAUCUGCGAAAAGCGCCGGUAAGGUGAUAUGAACCGUUAUAACCGGCGAUGUCCGAAUGGGGAAACCCAGUGUGACUCGUCACACUAUCAUUAACUGAAUCCAUAGGUUAAUGAGGCGAACCGGGGGAACUGAAACAUCUAAGUACCCCGAGGAAAAGAAAUCAACCGAGAUUCCCCCAGUAGCGGCGAGCGAACGGGGAGGAGCCCAGAGCCUGAAUCAGCAUGUGUGUUAGUGGAAGCGUCUGGAAAGGCGCGCGAUACAGGGUGACAGCCCCGUACACAAAAGCGCAUGUGCUGUGAGCUCGAUGAGUAGGGCGGGACACGUGGUAUCCUGUCUGAAUAUGGGGGGACCAUCCUCCAAGGCUAAAUACUCCUGACUGACCGAUAGUGAACCAGUACCGUGAGGGAAAGGCGAAAAGAACCCCGGCGAGGGGAGUGAAACAGAACCUGAAACCGUGUACGUACAAGCAGUGGGAGCAUGAGUUUACUCAUGUGACUGCGUACCUUUUGUAUAAUGGGUCAGCGACUUAUAUUCUGUAGCAAGGUUAACCGAAUAGGGGAGCCGGAGGGAAACCGAGUCUUAAUUGGGCGUUAAGUUGCAGGGUAUAGACCCGAAACCCGGUGAUCUAGCCAUGGGCAGGUUGAAGGUUGGGUAACACUAACUGGAGGACCGAACCGACUAAUGUUGAAAAAUUAGCGGAUGACCUGUGGCUGGGGGUGAAAGGCCAAUCAAACCGGGAGAUAGCUGGUUCUCCCCGAAAGCUAUUUAGGUAGCGCCUCGUGAAUUCAUCUCCGGGGGUAGAGCACUGUUUCGGCCAGGGGGCCAUCCCGGCUUACCAACCCGAUGCAAACUGCGAAUACCGGAGAAUGUUAUCACGGGAGACACACGGCGGGUGCUAACGUCCGUCGUGAAGAGGGAAACAACCCAGACCGCCAGCUAAGGUCCCAAAGUCAUGGUUAAGUGGGAAACGAUGUGGGAAGGCCCAGACAGCCAGGAUGUUGGCUUAGAAGCAGCCAUCAUUUAAAGAAAGCGUAAUAGCUCACUGGUCGAGUCGGCCUGCGCGGAAGAUGUAACGGGGCUAAACCAUGCACCGAAGCUGCGGCAGCGAACGUAUCACUUAAAGCGAUUCAGCGGAUGACGAUUGACGGAGCGAAGCGACGUCAAAGCGUUUUACAACGUCGAGUCGGUUUAAGGAUACGUUCGUUGGGUAGGGGAGCGUUCUGUAAGCCUGCGAAGGUGGCCUGUGAGGGUUGCUGGAGGUAUCAGAAGUGCGAAUGCUGACAUAAGUAACGAUAAUGCGGGUGAAAAACCCGCACGCCGGAAGACCAAGGGUUCCUGUCCAACGUUAAUCGGGGCAGGGUGAGUCGACCCCUAAGGCGAGGCCGAAAGGCGUAGUCGAUGGGAAACAGGUUAAUAUUCCUGUACCUGGUGUUACUGCGAAGGGGGGACGGAGAAGGCUAUGUUGGCCGGGCGACGGUUGUCCCGGUUUAAGCGUGUAGGCUGGUUUUCCAGGCAAAUCCGGAAAAUCAAGGCUGAGGCGUGAUGACGAGGCACUACGGUGCUGAAGCAACAAAUGCCCUGCUUCCAGGAAAAGCCUCUAAGCCUCAGGUAACAUCAGAUCGUACCCGAAACCGACACAGGUGGUCAGGUAGAGAAUACCAAGGCGCUUGAGAGAACCCGGGUGAAGGAACUAGGCAAAAUGGUGCCGUAACUUCGGGAGAAGGCACGCUGACACGUAGGUGAAGCGGUUUACCCGUGAAGCUGAAGUCAGUCGAAGAUACCAGCUGGCUGCAACUGUUUAUUAAAAACACAGCACUGUGCAAACACGAAAGUGGACGUAUACGGUGUGACGCCUGCCCGGUGCCGGAAGGUUAAUUGAUGGGGUCAGCGCAAGCGAAGCUCCUGAUCGAAGCCCCGGUAAACGGCGGCCGUAACUAUAACGGUCCUAAGGUAGCGAAAUUCCUUGUCGGGUAAGUUCCGACCUGCACGAAUGGCGUAAUGAUGGCCAGGCUGUCUCCACCCGGGACUCAGUGAAAUUGAACUCGCUGUGAAGAUGCAGUGUACCCGCGGCAAGACGGAAAGACCCCGUGAACCUUUACUAUAGCUUGACACUGAACACUGGUCCUUGAUGUGCAGGAUAGGUGGGAGGCUUUGAAGUGUGGACGCCAGUCUGCAUGGAGCCGUCCUUGAAAUACCACCCUUUAAUGGCUGGUGUUCUAACGUAGACCCGUGAACCGGGUUGCGGACAGUGUCUGGUGGGUAGUUUGACUGGGGCGGUCUCCUCCUAAAGCGUAACGGAGGAGCACGAAGGUUGGCUAAUCCUGGUCGGACAUCAGGAGGUUAGUGCAAUGGCAUAAGCCAGCUUGACUGCGAGCGUGACGGCGCGAGCAGGUGCGAAAGCAGGUCAUAGUGAUCCGGUGGUUCUGAAUGGAAGGGCCAUCGCUCAACGGAUAAAAGGUACUCCGGGGAUAACAGGCUGAUACCGCCCAAGAGUUCAUAUCGACGGCGGUGUUUGGCACCUCGAUGUCGGCUCAUCACAUCCUGGGGCUGAAGUAGGUCCCAAGGGUAUGGCUGUUCGCCAUUUAAAGUGGUACGCGAGCUGGGUUUAGAACGUCGUGAGACAGUUCGGUCCCUAUCUGCCGUGGGCGCUGGAGAACUGAGGGGGGCUGCUCCUAGUACGAGAGGACCGGAGUGGACGCAUCACUGGUGUUCGGGUUGUCAUGCCAAUGGCACUGCCCGGUAGCUAAAUGCGGAAGAGAUAAGUGCUGAAAGCAUCUAAGCACGAAACUUGCCCCGAGAUGAGUUCUCCCUGAGACUACAAGUCUCCUGAAGGAACGUUGAAGACGACGACGUUGAUAGGCCGGGUGUGUAAGCGCAGCGAUGCGUUGAGCUAACCGGUACUAAUGAACCGUGAGGCUUAACCUUACAACGCCGAAG
rnacentral:rRNA from 2 species